UUAAAAUAAGUUGGAUACUCC
rnacentral:miRNA from 1 species